rnacentral:rRNA from 1 species
GCUCAGUAACACGUGAAUUACCUGCCCUAUCGUCUGAAAUAACCUCGGGAAACUAAAAACAAGGCCGGAUAGUUCACAAUGCCUGGAACGUUUUGUGAAUCAAGGUAGGAUGGGUCUGCGGCGUAUCAGGUUGUAGGGGGUGUAACGAACCCCCUAGCCAUCGACGCGUACGGUUGUUGGAAGACAUAGCCCGAAGAUGGAUUCUAAAACACAAAUCCAAACCCUACGGGGUGCAGCAGGCGCAAAAACUUCACACUGCAGGAAAUUGUGAUGAGGGACCUCCAAGUGUGUGCGUUUUACGUACACUUUUCUGAAUUCUUAAUCGGUUCAGGAAUAAGGGCUGGAAAAGACCGGUGCCAGCCGCCGCGUUAAUACCGGCAGCUCAAGUGGUCGUCGUUUUUAUUGGGCCUAAAACGUCCGUAGCCUGUUUGGUAAAUCUGUGGGUAAAUCAACCCGCUCAACGGGUUGAAUUCUGCAAAGACUGCCAAACUAGGGACCGGAAGAGGGGUGGGGUACUCGAGGGGUAAAGGUAAAAUUCUGUCAUCCUUCGAGGACCACCAGUUGCGAAGGCCCCCCACUGGAACGGAUUCGACGGUCAGG